AUUGAACGCUGGCGGCAUGCCUUACACAUGCAAGUCGAACGGCAGCACGGGAGCAAUCCUGGUGGCGAGUGGCGAACGGGUGAGUAAUAUAUCGGAACGUGCCCAGUCGUGGGGGAUAACGCAGCGAAAGCUGUGCUAAUACCGCAUACGAUCUAUGGAUGAAAGCGGGGGAUCGCAAGACCUCGCGCGAUUGGAGCGGCCGAUAUCAGAUUAGCUAGUUGGUGGGGUAAAGGCCCACCAAGGCGACGAUCUGUAGCUGGUCUGAGAGGACGACCAGCCACACUGGAACUGAGACACGGUCCAGACUCCUACGGGAGGCAGCAGUGGGGAAUUUUGGACAAUGGGCGCAAGCCUGAUCCAGCAAUGCCGCGUGCAGGAUGAAGGCCUUCGGGUUGUAAACUGCUUUUGUACGGAACGAAACGGUCCUUUCUAAUACAGGGGGCUAAUGACGGUACCGUAAGAAUAAGCACCGGCUAACUACGUGCCAGCAGCCGCCGUAACAC
rnacentral:rRNA from 1 species